UAGGGAAUCUUCGGCAAUGGACGAAAGUCUGACCGAGCAACGCCGCGUGAGUGAAGAAGGUUUUCGGAUCGUAAAACUCUGUUGUUAGAGAAGAACAAGGACGUUAGUAACUGAACGUCCCCUGACGGUAUCUAACCAGAAAGCCACGGCUAACUACGUGCCAGCAGCCGCGGUAAUACGUAGGUGGCAAGCGUUGUCCGGAUUUAUUGGGCGUAAAGCGAGCGCAGGCGGUUUCUUAAGUCUGAUGUGAAAGCCCCCGGCUCAACCGGGGAGGGUCAUUGGAAACUGGGAGAAUUGAGUGCAGAAGAGGAGAGUGGAAUUCCAUGUGUAGCGGUGAAAUGCGUAGAGAACUGGAGGAAUACCGGUGGCGAAGGCGGCCCCCUGGACGAAGACUGACGCUCAGGUGCGAAAGCGUGGGGAGCAAACAGG
rnacentral:rRNA from 1 species